GGGGAUUUAGCUCAGUGGCACAGCAUGUGCCUCAAAAGCACAAGGUCCAGUGUUUGAUCCCUGAUACCCCC
rnacentral:tRNA from 1 species